rnacentral:rRNA from 1 species
AACGAACGCUGGCGGCAUGCCUAACACAUGCAAGUCGAACGAGACCUUCGGGUAUAGUGGCGCACGGGUGCGUAACGCGUGGGAACCUGCCCUUAGGUUCGGAAUAACUCCCCGAAAGGGGUGCUAAUACCGGAUAAUGUCUUCGGACCAAAGAUUUAUCGCCUUGGGAUGGGCCCGCGUUGGAUUAGCUAGUUGGUAGGGUAAAAGCCUACCAAGGCGACGAUCCAUAGCUGGUCUGAGAGGAUGAUCAGCCACACUGGGACUGGGACACGGCCCAGACUCCUACGGGAGGCAGCAGUGGGGAAUAUUGGACAAUGGGCGAAAGCCUGAUCCAGCAAUGCCGCGUGAGUGAUGAAGGCCUUAGGGUUGUAAAGCUCUUUUACCCGGGAUGAUAAUGACAGUACCGGGAGAAUAAGCUCCGGCUAACUCCGUG